CACCUUCAACAAACUAAUAUCUCUUUGCUCUCAUCUGCUCUAUCCAACAAAAGUGUCACCAAUGAGAAUUCAUCUGAGGUAUUCACUCUAGAAGCUUCUCCUACUGUAAAAUGUCGGUCUCCCUAGACUGAAAUUCUACCAAAUAGAAGUUUACACACUUAAGUUAGGGAAGUUUUCGUAGAAAGGUUCAUAGUCUCUGCCAACUUCAGUUGAUGGCAGUGGCUACCUGGACCAACUUGCUAGGAAGGAAUCUGAGAUAGCUGAGCUCAGCAUGAAGGAGGAGAACCCUGCUGGUCAGUGAUGUCAAGAACAGUGGGGAUAGGGACUACCGGGGGCAUAUCUGAGUCUUUCUGGUGAAUGGAUUGCAUCUCUAGGAAUCCUUUUUAUUCACAUGCUGUCACAUCUCCAUGUGCUUUACAAAUCCGUUCAUCUGUCUACAAUCCACUUUCCCCUUCUGCACUUCUGAGAGUUUUCAUUAUUCCUUCAAGACUGAGCUCAAACUUUUCUGUCUUUCUGAAGAUCCCCUAGCUUCUCCAAGGGUCUUCUGAGAUGAGCAUACUGUGUGCCUCUGGAAAUCUGAUUCUCGGUCUCCCUCACCAUACAGACUCUGCAGCAGAGUGACCGGCUAGAGGCAAGCAUCAAAUGUGUGGAGCUAUACAAGUGAGAAAUUCUGGAUUUCUCCACAAGAAGAAGACUACACCUGUAGUUUAAAGGAGUGUGUCUGAGUUUCCUGCAGCAUCAGGAGAGGGAGAGACAGACACCAUGAUUCCUACCAAGAUGGUACUGCUCUUGCUGUCAAUGGGUUUGCUGGCCUUGGGCUCUGCUCAGGGCAUCAGUGACGAUGAUGAAUUCUUGAAAGAAACCCCAGAGGAAUCACAAGUGAAAUCUCAAGAAGAAAAUGGAGUUGAGAACAGCAAGCCAGACAAAGAUGGUCCAGGUGGCCCACAGAGACCAGCAGGCCAACAAGUUCCAGGUGGUCAACAGCAACCAGGAGCCCAAAGUGGUCCAGGUGGCCCACAGGGUCCAGCAGGCCAACAAGGCCCAGGUGGCCAACAGCGUCCAGGAGCCCAAGGUGGUCCAGGUGGCCCACAGCGUCCAGCAGGCCAACAGGACCCAGGUGGCCAACAGCGUCCAGGAGCCCAAGGUGGUCCAGGUGGUCCACAGCGUCCAGCAGGCCAACAGCGUCCAGGAGCCCAAGGUGGUCCAGGUGGCCCUCAAAGUCCAGCAGGCCAACAGGGCCCAGGUGGCCAACAGCGUCCAGGAGCCCAUGGUGGUCCAGUUGGCCCACAGCGUCCAGCAGGCCAACAGGGUCCAGGUGGCCAACAGCGUCCAGGAGCCCAAGGUGGUCCAGGUGGCCCACAGGGUUCAGUGGGCCAACAGGGUCCAGGAGGUCAACAGGGUCCAGGAGCCCAAGGUGGUCCAGGUGGCCCACAGGGUCCAGCGGGCCAACAGGGUCCAGGUGGCCAACAGCGUCCAGGAGCCCAAGGUGGUCCAAGUGGCCCACAGGGUCCAGCAGGCCAACAGGGUCCAGGUGGCCAGCAGCAUCCAGGAGCCCAGGGAGUUCCAGGUGGCCCACAGGGUUUGGCAGGGCAACAUGGCCCAAGUGGCCAACAGGGCUCAGGUGGUCAAGGUAGUCCGGGUGGCCAGCGUGAUCAGCGUGGUGGCCAGUAACAAGGAAAACCAAGUAAAGAGGACCUCCUGUGAUUUCCUAGAAAUUGAGAGAGAUCAACUGGUGACCAUGGAUUUUUCAGUCGUGUCCACGUGGCCUUCCUUCCUCUGACUUCAAAUUAUCAAUAAAGUCAUCAGCAUUAAAGCCCUGGCUCUUAUUUUCCUUCUAAGUCAUGGUUCUUAGUCAGUGGAUGAGAAGGACUGGUUGAAAGAUACAAAGCCCUGAAGGACUUCAAAUUUGUGUGCUGUGCAGAUUGACCUCACUCCGAUUACAAAGCAGAAACAUUUUAUUCUUGAGACUAGUAAGGGAGUUUGCAAGUUCAGACGACCAAUGUACACAUCCUUUUCUUAGCUUAGACAUAGAGGGAAUUACCUCGUAAACUCAUCUGACUUCUGGUAGUCCUUCCAACUAUGGGAGCUGUAUUAUGAGGUGAGAGUGUGUACAAAGGAAACCCUGGGCAGUGUUGGUGGGAAUGCACGCUGGCACAGCCACUAUAAAAAAUAGCAUAGAGGUUCCUAAAAUAAUUACAAAUACAACUACAAUGCAAUCCAGUAUUUUCUUUUUGGGUAUUUAUCCAAAGAAAAUGAAAACUCUAUUUUGCAAAGAUACAUGCACCCCUAAUGUACACUGUGUAAUUAUUUACGAGAGACUAGCUAUGGAAGCAGCCUCGUGUCCAAGGGUAGAUGAAUGGAUAUAGAAGAUGUGGUGUGUAUACACAAUGGAAUGUUCCUUAAUUGUAAAAAGGAAGGAAAUCUUUCCAUUUGCAACAAUACAGAUGGAUCGAGAGAGUACAAUGCUGAAUGAAAUAAGUCAAGUAGAGACAAAUAAAUACUAUAGGAUUUCAUACAUAUGUGGAAUCCAAAAACCAGAACGAACCAACCAAACAGAACAGAACUAAAUAUCCAGUGCCUGUCAGAAGGCAAGGUGUGGAAGAAUGGUAAAAUGGGAUCAAAAGGCAUGUGAAAAGGUGCAAGAAUACAUUUGUAACAUAAAUAAGGCACAGGGACACAAGAAAUACACAAGGAACGCAGGAAAGCAGUUAAUAAUAUGCAACCAUUUUGUUUGCUGUAGAUGGUAGCUCGAUUUUUCUUGGUGAACCUUCACAAUGUAUAGAUAUGUUGAAUCACCAUGUUGUACACUUGAAACUAAUGUAAUAAUGUAGGUCAAGUAUGGUUUAAUCCAGGACCCAAAGAUCAUGACCUGAGCCACAAGCAGACACUUUGCCAACUGAAUCAUCCAAGAACUCCUGUAAAAGUUAUUUUUAAUCUUCCUUUGAAUAUACUUACACUUAACACCAAAAAAAAGUCCUUUCCAUUUUCAAAAAGCAGCUUCUCUCUCCAUAACUAAACAGGGUUUGUCAUUUAUUGAAUGAGAAAUCAAAAUGUCCUUUUAUAACAUGUCAAAGAAUGUUUAUAAUGAUAUUCAAUAAUCCAAAAUUUUCUACCUAAAUGUCACUUUCUCCUGCCAGAAAUCCAAAGUAACGUUCUUCAUAAGGGGCUGGGAGACCAUUUAUUAUGCAAGAAAACUAUAUGCCGCAUACCUUGUACCCAACCACAAUAUUCUCUCACCUUCUUUCCUUCAGCCACAUCACACUCUACAGUUUGUCCAUCUCCUACACUGUGCAGAUAUUUCCAUGACUUUUUCUUUUUGAUGGCAGUCUGUCAACAGAACAGAGAUUUGUAAGUGAAGCAACAUCAAUACUGGCCACAGAUUUCACCUUUCAAGUUUAUCUCCUAUAUUACUACUUUUUUACAUUAUCAUUCUCCCAGUAACCAGGAUCUCCAAUACAAUAACAAAAUAAACAACAACAAAACCACUGUAAAUCAGAUUUCCACAUUAUUUUCUUGAUUCACGCUACCUUUGGUAAUUCUUGAUAGGUGGAUUAAAUAGAAUGUUUAGUUACUACAUACUGUCGCUACAGCCUGAUGAUGAUAUGGGAUGGUAGUAGUUCCCUCAAGCUAUUCAGCAGCUACGAUUCUGACUGUACCUCCACACUGGUGGGGCAGGGGUGAAAUCUACCAAGUCCACAUUUCACCUAGAGAAGUUUCUAUAGAAAAAAGAAACUGCUACCCUCAAAAAGGAAUUGUAAACUCUGUGUAGGAGAGGAGGGAUGAUGAAGAAUGGAAAAAGGAAUUUAAGAAUACCAGUGGAUUAAGUAUUUCUGAUGGGAAUACACAAGAUUACCUCAGGAACGAAACAUUACUAAUAGCCAUAAUGUGGCCUCUUCCGUCCUGCCCUCCAUUUUAAGGAUAAGUUAAUAUGAGGCUCGUAAGUGAUUUACCUGAAGACCUAAAGGUACAGCCUGGAAGUACAGGGGGAGUAUGUAGGGGAAAUUCACAUCCCUGCACUGUAUGUAUGACUAUUUCUGCAAUAGUGGCCCCAUCACACCAUUCUCAUCUACUCACCCCUACACAUUCCGUGAUGAUGCAUUAAAAGGUUGAGGCAGAUACUAGGCUGCAUGAGACACCUGCACCUGAAAACACCAGGGGAAGGCACAGAAUAGUUUUUGCAAUGAAUUUCCGUUCCUUUCCUUGGUCUCUCUAAACAGUUAAAGGGGGUCAGAUUUUCUGUAGAACUAGGUCAACUUUAUUUUAUAAAGCAAUCAGGCAUGUGACCAUGAAAAGCUGUGAAAAUAUUCAAGGUUAAAGAAGGCUGAAGAAACAUGACAGCCAAAAUACAGUACUAGAAAGGAUCUGUGUUCUGUAGGAGAAAAACAUGCUUCACAAUCAUGGAUUAGGGGUAGCCUGGGUGGCUCAGCUGUUUAGCGCCACGUUCAGCCCAGAGCCUGAUCCUGGAGUCCUGGGAUCGAGUCCCACGUCAGGCUCCCUGCAUGGAGCCUGCUUCUCCCUUUGCCUGUGUCUCUGCCUCUCUCUCUCUCUCUCUCUCUCUCUGUGCCUCAUGGAUAAAUAAAUAAAAUCUUAAAAAAAUAAAAUAAAAUGAUGGAUUCGCAAUUAGGGAAUUCAGGCUGUAGAAUGUGAAAGUAUCAUAUGAAUGUUAAAUAUACUGAAGUUGUACAUAACUCUGGUUGCCUAAGAGGGUAUCACCAUUCUUAGGGAAUACACACUGAAAAGUUAGGGGUAAAAGGACAUGAUUUG
rnacentral:lncRNA from 1 species